CCUCGUAGCACCUGCGCAAGCAGGCGCUGCGGGGACUUCUUUCAGUCUGCAACGAGGGUCUGCUCGUG
rfam:Serratia marcescens FGI94, complete genome.